AGCGAACGCUGGCGGCAGGCCUAACACAUGCAAGUCGAACGAACCUUUCGGGGUUAGUGGCGGACGGGUGGGUAACACGUGGGAACGUGCCUUUAGGUUCGGCAUAACUCAGGGAAACUUGUGCUAAUACCGAAUGUGCUCUUCGGGGGAAAGAUUAAUCGCCUUUAGAGCGGCCCGCGUCUGAUUAGCUAGCUGGUUGAGGUAAUGGCUCACCAAGGCGACGAUCAGUAGCUGGUCUGAGAGGAUGAUCAGCCACAUUGGGACUGAGACACGGCCCAAACUCCUACGGGAGGCAGCAGUGGGGAAUCUUGCGCAAUGGGCGAAAGCCUGACGCAGCCAUGCCGCGUGAAUGAUGAAGGUCUUAGGAUUGUAAAAUUCUUUCACCGGGGACGAUAAUGACGGUACCCGGAGAAGAAGCCCCGGCUAACUUCGUG
rnacentral:rRNA from 1 species